rnacentral:rRNA from 1 species
GCUUGCGCAAGGUACUCGAGUGGCGAACGGGUGAGUAACACGUGGGUGAUCUGCCCUGCACUGUGGGAUAAGCCUGGGAAACUGGGUCUAAUACCAUAUAGGACCGCAUCUUGGAUGGUGUGGUGGAAAGCUUUUGCGGUGUGGGAUGAGCCUGCGGCCUAUCAGCUUGUUGGUGGGGUAAUGGCCUACCAAGGCGGCGACGGGUAUCCGGCCUGAGAGGGUGUACGGACACAUUGGGACUGAGAUACGGCCCAGACUCCUACGGGAGGCAGCAGUGGGGAAUAUUGCACAAUGGGCGCAAGCCUGAUGCAGCGACGCCGCGUGGGGGAUGAAGGCCUUCGGGUUGUAAACUCCUUUCGCUAUCGACGAAGCCACUUGUGGUGACGGUAGGUAGAUAAGAAGCACCGGCUAACUACGUGCCAGCAGCCGCGGUAAUACGUAGGGUGCAAGCGUUGUCCGGAAUUACUGGGCGUAAAGAGCUC